GUCCAACGGCGGGCCAUCUAUGCAAAUCACCCGGUCGAUCUUUAACGACCACUGGCAACCUGGCGCCAUAGGACAGGAAGGGGUAACAAAAUGUUAAAUCCAACCCGGUCCCGCCUAUUCUCCCGCCGCUGUCUCCACCACCGCGCCUCCCUUCACUCCACCACUGACUCCAACCACAAACUUCCUGCCCAAAUCAGCCGCCUAUUAAUCCUCGGCCAAUUCGAAGCCCUCUCCAACCUUUCCAUCACUUUCUCUGACCUUCUAGUGGACUCCGUCCUCAAAGAACUCAAAUUCCACCCUACCGCCGCCCUGAACUUCUUCAAUCUAGCUUGCAAACCGAACAACUUCAGACCCCACUUCAAAUCAUACAUCAAACUCGUCCACAUUUUAUCCAGAGCCCGCAUGUUCCCCGAAGCGCGGUCGUAUUUACAUGACCUCGUCGAACUGUCUGAAAGGAAACAUUAUUCAAAUUUUCUGGUAUAUGAAGAAUUGGUAAGAAUUUAUAGAGAAUUCAAGUUCUCCGGAACGGUUUUUGAUAUGUUAUUGAAAAUUUAUGCUGAAAAAGGGAUGGUGAAGAACGCUUUAUACGUGUUUGAUAAUAUGACCAAGAGUGGUCAGGUGCCAAGUACGCGAUCGUGUAAUAGUUUGCUGAGUAGUUUGGCAAGACUUAAGGAGUUUGACACUGUAAUUUGUAUUUAUGAUCAAUUGGUAAGAGUUGGAGUUGUACCUGAUGUAUACACUUGUACAAUAUUGGUUGAUGCUUAUUGUAAGCAUGAUAGGGUUGAUAAAGCAGUGGAUUUUGUAGAAGGGCUGGAAAGAAUGGGGUUGGAGUUGAAUGUUGUGGGUUAUAAUAGUUUGAUGAAUGGGUAUGUGGAGAAAGGGAAUUUGGAGGGAGUGGAGAGGGUGUUGCAAUUGAUGAGUAAACGAGCUAUUCCGAAGAAUUUGAUCACGUGUACCUUGUUGAUUAAGGUUUAUUGUAAGCGUGGGGAAAUGGAAGAAGCGGAGAGAAUGUUCAGAGGGAUGAAGGAAGAAAAGGCAGACCUGUUGAUUUUGGAUCACAAGGUUUAUGGUGUGUUAAUUGAUGGGUUUUGUCGGGUUGGAAAAAUGGAUGAUGCGGUUAGAUUUAGGGAUGAGAUGUUGGGGUUAGGGUUGGGGAUGAAUCUAUUUAUUUGUAAUUCUUUGAUAAAUGGGUAUUGUAAACUUGGUAAAUUAUGGGAAGCAGAGCGAGUUAUAACGAGUACGGUUGAAUGGAACUUGAAGCCGGAUGGUUAUAGCUUCAAUACAUUGUUGAAUGGGUAUUGUAGAGAAGGUUUAAUGAAGGAUGCUUUUAAGCUUUGUGAUCAGAUGGCUAGUGAUGGUAUAUAUCCAACAAAUGUAACUUAUAACACUCUCUUGAAAGGUUUACGUGACAAAAGUGAUCUGGGUGACUGUUUGCACCUUUGGCGUCUAAUGCUUAAGAGAGGUUUUGUUCCUGAUGCAAUAGGAUUUAGUACUCUCCUCGAUUGUCUUUUCAAGAAAGGUAAUUCUGAUAAGGCUUUGAUGUUGUGGAAAGAUAUUUUAGCAAAAGGGCAUGCAACGGACGUGGUUAUAUUCAACACGCUGCUCAAUGGAUUGUGUAAGUUGGGGAAGAUGAUUGAAUCAGAGCAAGUUCUUGACAAGAUGAAGGAGCUCGGUUGUUCACCUGACGAAGUAACCUAUAGAACCUUGAGUGAUGGCUAUUGUAAAGCUGGAGACAUUGAAAGGCCCCUUCAAAUAAAGCAUAUCAUGGAAAAGGAAGGAAUUCCUGCUUCCAUUGAAAUGUAUAACUCCCUUAUUAGUGGACUGUUUAGGGCAAGAAAAUCAAGCGAAAUUGCAAAUGUUCUUUGUGAGAUUCAUGUUAAGGGACUAAGUCCUAAUGUUGUUACAUAUGGAGCCCUUAUUACAGGUUGGAUCAAAGAAGGAAAACUGAAGAAAGCUUUUGAUGCUUACUUUGAGAUGACUGGGAAAGGAAUUGCUCCCAAUGUAAUAAUAUGUAGCACAAUUAUUAGUGGAUUAAACAAGCUCGGUAUGACAGAUUGUGCAAAUAUGCUGUUGCAGAAAAUGGUGGAUUUAGAUGUUUUCCCAAGGCUUGAACAAUUUUAUAAAUUCUUUGACUUCAAGAAAGUGCAGCUAGAUAUUCAGAAAAUUGCAAGUUCCCUUGAUGAAAGUGCAGAAAAUUUUAUUAUUGCCAAUAAUGUUAUGUAUAAUGUAAUUAUAGCUGGGUUAUGCAAAUUUGGGAAAACUGAUGAUGCAAGAAAAUUUAUCUGUGAGUUGUCACAGAGAGGCUUCAUUCCAGAUGAGUUCACAUAUUCUGCCUUGAUCCACAGUGCUUGUAUUUCUGGUAAUGUCAAUGAAGCUUUUGUCUUACGGGAUGAGAUGCUGAACAAGGGUCUUUCUCCAAAUAUUGUUACAUAUAAUACUCUUAUAAAUGGCCUGUGUAAAUCAGGAAACCUUGAUCGUGCAGUGAGGCUUUUUCAUAAACUUCACAGCAAAGGUUUAGUUCCCACUACCAUCACCUAUAAUUCUUUGAUUGAUGGAUAUUGUAAGGUUGGUAAUACCAAUGAAGCUCUUAAACUCAUAGAGAGAAUGACAAAGGAAGGUGUUGCUCCUUCUGACUUAACCUACUCCACAUUGAUCAGCAGCCUUUCAAAGCAGGGUGAUGUGGUGGAAUCCAUAAAGCUUUUAGAUCAAAAGACUAACACACGUCUUGGGCCUAUAAGAUACAACAAACAAUUCCAAGGUAAUAUAAAUUUUCAAGAAGAUCCAGUCACUUAAAGGAUAAGAGGAUAGAAAUCCUUACUGUAUUUCUAUUAUUCUUUUUCACCAACAAACUUUAUGAGAUCAUUUUUCUUUUUUAACUUGUUAAAUUUGCUGUACACAUAUUUUACACAAUGUGUUAUAUGUCCAGCCGAAAUUGUGGAAGCAUGCUAGAAGCAAACAAUGCAGCUGUUUCUUUGUUAUGCUCUCUGUUGAAAAAAGUAAGUUAGACAUGAUGCUAUGUUCUUGAGCUAAAGUAGGCAGACAGUUAUUCCAUAACAUUUAACCCCAUUUAUUUUCCUCCCCAACUCACUGUCUCCCCUGGGCAGUAAGUUAAAAACAUGAUAUCUUUCUCCCCAAAUUGGAAUGUUUAUGGUAGCCAUAUUUAAUAAAUAAAACAUAUUUCUGAAGUCUUAUCAGGCAUACUUACUAUGAGAGCUUAUAAUCUGUUGGAAUGCUGUUGCAAAAAAAUAGAUCCAAUGACAUGAAGCCUUAUAACCUGUUGAAGUAUUUCUCAAUGCAAUAUGUUUUAACAACUUCAGAAAGAUGAGCAUGUCUCAUUUUAAUAUUUGGCUAAAUUUUAGGAAGUUGAAGCAGAACAUUGCCAUGAAAGAAGAAAAAGGAAAGGAAAAAGUGAACCAGGUCCAGACGUGUGCUUUGUAGACCUGUCAUGUUGGACUCUAUGAUGAAAAUCUCUAGUUUCACUUAGAAGGGGAAAACUAGAUCUUCUGUUUUUUUCUAAUUUUACAAAAUGAACUCUCUUCUUCUGAAUACACAGCAUUAGCCAAGAUAUCCACAGAUGUAUCCAAUAAAAAAUGGCUUGGCAACUUCUAGGAGAACAAAGUAAGUUUCUCUGUCUAAAUCUCUGCUUUUAUUUCCUUAAUACAUUUCUAUUAACUUACUGUGUAUGCCACAUGAAUCAUAGUUACUAAACCGAGACAAGAGAACUGUAAACUGGCUCCAAUUCAAGUUCAGUUUUGCAAUUGGACCUCGCAAGAGACCAAUCUGGUAAAAUUAAAUGAAUGGCCUGUUUUCUUUAACUUGCUACCUGCUGAACCCAGUGGCUUAAAUUUCAAGCAUUGAAAGUGCAAGCAGAAACUGGUAUUGAUGGAGAUCCUUAGUGUCAUUCUUGGAAGACUUACCAUAAUAUAGAUAUUUACUUUAGUGAGAAAAAUAAGAAACAUUUUGAAGUUAUUUUGAUUUAGGGAUUUCCCCCCCAUAGUUACUCGGUUAUAAUUAGGUAAUUUUUUUAUGUUUAUUUUUGUCUUUUCUUCUCAUAGCUUUCCUUGGUUACAAGAAAUUUCAAGUAUAUGUGAUGGAGAUAGAGAUAGAAUAAAAAUAGAAUUUAGAUAGGAUUUUGAAAACGAGAUUUGUUUGGCCAACGUAAAGGAACUUGCUUUGAUACCAAAUUGACAAUGAAACAUAAAAAUUUGACAACAAACAAGAAAAAGAACAAGAAAAGAAAGAGAUCAAAGAAGGGAAGAAAUUAGGACAAAGAGGAAAUCAAUAUUGAAUACAAAUAUUAUUAAAAUUUCUCCCCAAAUUAUUUGUUUCUUCUCCCUUGUCUCCUAUUCUUCCUGUCUCCUUCUCCUCUUUGUUCCCUACAUUCUUGUUUCAUGCAUACUGUGCUGGAUCAGCUCCUAUUUCUUUGAAUUCUAGCUUUCAUUAUGAGUUUGCAGAGCCUACCUACCGGUGGGUUACUCUAGCGAUAAAGAAUAUGUUAGUGUAUAUAUAAAUUAGUUAUUUAUACAUUCUUUGCUGUAAUGUAGCUCGUCAUCUUUAAGUGGUGUUGAGUCAAAAUACUAGAGAAUAGAAUUGUCCCACAAAUUGUUUCUACUUCAAAUGGUCUCUAUACUAGCACAAUUUUUUGAGUUCAUGUAAGAAUUUUAUAGACGCAAUUAUGCUCAAAUAUGAGCACAGCUCAUGUACAGCACACUAUAAAGUUUCACAUUGUACCAUAAUCUGUUAACACCUUAAGCACAACACAAACUUAUUUUAGCUACUCUAUCUAUAGAAAAUGUUGGUGGAAAUAAUGAAGGCUAAUACAUCCAACCAAGCUGGCCAGAUGUAGUUUUCGAGUGACAAAAUAUGUGCGAUAACUUUGAAUAGACAAAUAUUGUCUGGAUGAAACUUUUGAGUAUUUACAGUGAAAUUAUGUCUCCAAGGAUGCUAGCAACAGCAAUGAAAUGAGAAACUUUCUUUUAGGAAGAGGCUGUAGUGAAUCUCAGCAGCUGUAAUCGAUCCAGCUUCUAAUUGACCAAAGACUUAAGGUCUGACUUUGCCACCUCUUACCUCUACAAAAACAAUGCAGCCUGGGGAAUCAGUUUGUGUGACCGGUGAAAGAUGUCUGGUGUAAGAUUAGAGUGUCAACUCAGGGGUGUGCAAAUUUCAUGUGGGAUCUGGCAUCAUAGAAGGGAUUUUGCUGGACAAAAUUCACUACUUUUGAGCUAUAAGUUAGUGAAACUGGAAUUUCAUGCAGGGGAUAGAUUUAUGGGAUAAUGUUCCCAGUGCCAUCAAUAUACCACAAAUUGAAGACGGUCCUUUAGGCAAGGAGAAUAGAGGUCCGGAAAGCCAUGCAAAUUUUUGCAGUUUCUUAAGAGUAUGAACUAGAAAAGCACAUUAAGGAUGUGAUGAUGCCAAAGAUAGGCAGUUGGCAUGCUUGCUACUGCUAAUUUGAAGCUUCAACCACUAGAAAAUGAGCUUAUAUCAAUUUCAGAGCAGAGUUUGACUGGUAUGCCAUACAGAAUGUUGUCUCCGAGAUGAGAAUACAAAGGAUUGUUAUUUCUAAUAUAAAAAGAGUGCAAUGGAUGGGCAAAUGACCCAAUUUUACCAUAGAAGGAACGUUUGUUAGCUAACCAGGAAUUUUUUUUUUUUUUUUUUUUUUUGGGUGGUGGUUGGGGUGGGGAUGGGGGUGGGGGUUGAAGAAUUCAUAAACAAGGAAGGAAAUGCUAUUUCUUUAGAAGAAAGAAGGGAUUGUAAAUAAGAAAAGGCAAGUGUGCUUCUUUGAGAUCCAAGACAAUUGCAGAAGAGGAGACAUGUGAUGAAGCAGCGAUAAACUCUAAAGUCUGAAGAAGGGAGAGCUAUGAAGAAUCAGAGAUGAGAUGAUCACUAUUACAGAAAUUGCCUAUGCAAAUAUUAUGGUUUUUAGUGGAAGAGCCACUUUGCUUGAGGUUGUUAGUUUAGACGAGGGGAAGGAUAUGCUAUAAAUUGAACGAGGACAAGAAAGAGAGAGAAAAUGAUUUUCAUACAACCUCUGCAGUGGCACGAUUUUGGAUAGUGAAGGAAUAAAAUGCUGAGAGGUGAUGACUUAGAAGCGUUUAAAGCACAUGCAAUAUGUAAUGUGGCAUAACUCACUAAAAUGGAUAGAUAAAGGAAGAAAAGAACUUCAAAAGGUAAAUAGCACAAGUUGGAGAAAUCGUUGGCAGAGGGAGGAUGUUGAGAUUCACUACUGCCUUUUCCUUCUAGAUGUCUCGAUGUCGCCAUCAUCAUUAACAUCAUUCAUGACAUCAUGUUAGCGUGGACACUUGCAAGUUUUUAGCCAGACACUUUUCUGAUUUUGCACCAUGUUGUGUAUAGUGGAUUUGUUUAGUCUACUAUUUGGACUCACCAAAACUCAAAACAAACAUCUGGCAAAUAUUCUGUUAUGUAUAUUUAUUAUUUCUCCUUUCCAGUGGUCUUGUUUUAAAAACAUUCAGGUUUUGUUUAAAUCUUUACUUUAGUUUUGAUGAAAAAGAACUGUGUUCAUAUAUGUUUUGGACUUAAUUUUUUUAUGUUGGUAGGGUGGAAAAUAGGAUAAUCUACCCUAAGAAAUCCAACAUCUAAAAUCCCUAAAUUUAACUUGUUGAUAAUAUUUUCCAGUAUUAGAUUAUAAAUGAUAUUGGAUGUAAUUAAUCCAAUAAAUAGUUAUGAUGAAUUUUACCAACAAAACUACUGUCCUUAUCAAAUAUUAUGCAUGUGAGGGUGUAUAUUGAUUAUGAAACAAUUGUUAUGCUGCAGUUAGAUCACCGAAAUGAUCCCGUUUCUUCUUCAGGUUGAUCUCUUUCUGCACUUAAUGACUAUGAUCUAAAGUACUCAGCACUUCUAUCUGACCUAUGUGUAAGCUUGUAUCUAUAGCAUCCCAAACAAGACCAACAAGUACUUAUUUGGUUUCGACUUUCUUGCUUCAUCAUAUAGGUUGACAUGACAGAUUGAAUAAAUAAUUCUCUUGGAAUUAAUUUAGCCAUGACUUGUUUGUUAAUAAUUAACAUGGGAGUCGUAUACUUUACCAUUUAUGGUUCUCAAAUUCUUUUCCAUUCUGUUUGAGCACCCAUUUUCCCUUCUGCUAGAGGGAAAUCUUAUAUAUUGACAUAGAAUUAUGGAUUGUUCUUUCAUAGUUGAUCACAUCGUUAUCAUAGUUAAAUAAGUAUUAAUGUCUAAGUUUUGAUGUCGAAAAUUUUGCAGCCUGGAACUCUUAUUGUGUCAUUCUCUGGAGUGGGUGGUAACCUUCAAUUGUCUAACGUGGUGAGCAGUAAAAGGGGAGAACAAAUGAUUGUUGGACUCUGAAUAUUAGACCCUAGCUCCUGAUUUGAGACAUUAUGGGACUAAAAGUUACUGAGCUCAUUCAUCUACUGAGAUGGAAUUCUUUGUAUCUAGCAUCCAGUGCUGCAGGGACUACGAGGCUGGUACUUGCCUGUUGAACUGACUUUCUAUACAGAUUCCAUUUCUGGGUAAUCAUUGAUUCUUAUUUGUUUACUUCCUUCUUCUUUCUCUUGGUAGGCAAAUGCAUCCUCUUUAGGAACUGUGCAGUCAAUUCUCAGUUACCAAUGUAGAUUGGUCCAUAAUCUCUAUCAUUUUGGCCAUGCAAGUGAGACAUCAUUGUAUAGUCUUUCCUUUCACUUGAUCUCAGUGAAUGAGCAAUAAUCUAGCCGAACUUUCUUAGAAUUAUUUAAAGCUAACCAAUGCACGUGCACACACCUUUUAUUUAUUUUUUUCAAUUUUGACUCUCAAUAACUGGAGUUAAGAACGAAAUUUCCUUAAAUACAUGGCAUGAGUGAAGGGGACAGAAAACAAACAAUUGAAGUAGUUGCAGCAAAAAUCCAAAUGUAAGACAUCAACUAAGUAAUAAGUUAAAUUAAUGGGUUUCAAGAUGUCGAUAAUUGAGUAGUUCUCACUUUGUGUCUUUGACCUGUUGAUUAGUGGUAUUCUUUAAAAACAUUUUUUUCAUUCUAUCUGUCAGUAGUAUCCUUAGUUAUAUUCCGGUUAAGCAAAAGAUCAUUUGUUACACAGAACUGUUAGUGAUUUUUGUUCUUGUUGAAUAACAUGAGGCUACGUCAUAAGUUUGAGGUACAUAGAUGAGUAAUAUUGUUCAUACUAUUAGGCAUUCUUUCUGUGUGGCGGGAGGGAAAGAAGCACUCACAUUCACUGAUCAUUUAUCAGCUCCGACAGCAACUGUAGUUUUUCGUUUAAUUUGAUUGCAUCUUCUUUUAUGCAUAUUUAUUUGUUAAUGUUAGUUGUCAAUUGCUUUUGUCGUUUUAGUAAUCCUUUUUUCAGUAAUAUUUGGCCUAUCUCCUACAUUCAAAAUCCAGUAGUACACUUUGAGAGAAUUGCCCCUAAUGUUCUAAAUUUUCAGGAUCUGUUCUUCAAAUUAUUGCUUACCUAUAGACUUCUUUCCUAAUUAAUUCCUCUUGUUUCGAUUUUUAUUUUUUUGCUUCUUUUGUCUUUACAGGCACCCUUUUAUACAGAAGGCACAGGUCUUUCUCCUGUUCCAUUCGGUUUAGCCUGGCGACGAAAUAACAAUAAUGGCAUGUUUAGUUGGAUCGAACACAAUUAGACUGGAAAAUUGAUAAAUUUUGUUGUACACUUAUUUUUCUUGAUUAGGCCCUAUCUAGUAUACCAAAUAUUGUUUGUUAUAUAUAUA
rnacentral:lncRNA from 1 species